rnacentral:rRNA from 1 species
UACGGAGGUGGCAAGCGUUGUUCGGAAUCACUGGGCUUAAAGGGCGUGUAGGCGGAGCGCAGGGUGUCGGGUGAAAUCCCCGGGCUCAACCCGGGAACUGCCCGGCAAACCGGCGGUCUUGAGGCAGGUAGAGGUGAGUGGAACGACGGGUGGAGCGGUGAAAUGCGUAGAUAUCCGUUGGAACGCCGGUGGCGAAAGCGGGUCACUGGGCCUGUCCUGACGCUGAGACGCGAAAGCGUGGGUAGCAAACAGG